UACGUAGGGGGCAAGCGUUGUCCGGAAUCAUUGGGCGUAAAGAGCGUGUAGGCGGUUCGGUAAGUCGGCUGUGAAAGUCCAGGGCUCAACCCUGGGAUGCCGGUCGAUACUGCCGGACUAGAGUUCGGAAGAGGCGAGUGGAAUUCCCGGUGUAGCGGUGAAAUGCGCAGAUAUCAGGAGGAACACCUAUGGCGAAGGCAGCUCGCUGGGACGGUACUGACGCUGAGGCGCGAAAGCGUGGGGAGCGAACAGG
rnacentral:rRNA from 1 species